UACGGCAUUAUCACGUUGAAACGUCAGUUCUCGUACGAUCACCGAGGUUAAGCAACGCUGGGCCUGUUCAGUAUCUAGAUGGAUGACUUCUUGGGACUACCAGGUGCUGUAAA